GACGAACGCUGGCGGCGUGCCUAAUACAUGCAAGUAGAACGCACAGUUUAUACCGUAGCUUGCUACACCAUAGACUGUGAGUUGCGAACGGGUGAGUAACGCGUAGGUAACCUGCCUGGUAGCGGGGGAUAACUAUUGGAAACGAUAGCUAAUACCGCAUAAUAUUGAUUAUUGCAUGAUAAUUGAUUGAAAGAUGCUAUUGCAUCACUACCAGAUGGACCUGCGUUGUAUUAGCUAGUAGGUGAGGUAACGGCUCACCUAGGCGACGAUACAUAGCCGACCGGAGAGGGUGAUCGGCCACACUGGGACUGAGACACGGCCCAGACUCCUACGGGAGGCAGCAGGAGGGAAUCUUCGGCAAUGGACGAAAGUCUGACCGAGCAACGCCGCGUGAGUGAAGAAGGUUUUCGGAUCGUAAAGCUCUGUUGUAAGAGAAGAACGGGUGUGAGAGUGGAAAGUUCACACUGUGACGGUAUCUUACCAGAAAGAGACGGCUAACUACGUG
rnacentral:rRNA from 1 species